rnacentral:rRNA from 1 species
CCUACGGGUGGCUGCAGUGAGGAAUAUUGGUCAAUGGGCGCUAGCCUGAACCAGCCAAGUAGCGUGAAGGAUGACUGCCCUAUGGGUUGUAAACUUCUUUUAUAUGGGAAUAAAGUGCAGUAUGUAAACUGCAUGCCAUGUAUCUUAUGAAGAAGGCUCGGCGAACUCCGUGCCAGCAGCAGCGGUAAUACGGAGGAUCCGAGCGUUAUCCGGAUUUUAUGGGUUUAAAGGGUGAGUAGGCGGGUUGUUAAGUCAGUUGUGAAAGUUGGCGGCUCAACCGUAAAAUUGCAGUUGAUACUGGCAUCCUUGAGUACGGUAGAGGUAGGCGGAAUUCUUGGUGUAGCGGUGAAAUGCGUAGAUAUCACGAAGAACUCCGAUUGCGAAGGCAGCCUGCUGGACUGUAACUGACGCUGAUGCUCGAAAGUGUGGGUAUCAAACAGGAUUAGAUACCCGGGUAGUC